AUGAAACCUGAAGAUGUGCACAAAACUGCAUUCAGAACAUACUCAGGGCAUUAUGAGUUUUUGGUGAUGCCUUUUGGAUUGACAAAUGCACCAGCAACAUUCCAAGCACUCAUGAACAAACUUUUUGGCCCUUAUCUGAGGAAAUUUGUUUUGGUUUUCUUUGAUGAUAUUCUGAUAUUCAGUAGAACUCCAAAAGAACAUAAGAAACACUUGAAGAUUGUUAUGGACAUCUUAAAAGAAAAUAAAUUGCUCCUCAACAAAUCCAAGUGUACUUUUCGUACUUCUACAGUGGAAUACCUUGGUCAUGUGAUAUCUGCUCAAGGGGUUGCAACUGAUCCUGAGAAAAUCACUGUUGUGCAACAAUGGGCCCUGCCUGCCAAUAUCACUGAAUUAAGAAGUUUUCUGGGCCUAGCUGGUUACUAUAGAAGGUUCAUCAAAGAUUAUGGGACUAUUUGCAGACCACUUCAUGAUUUGUUGAAGAAAGAUGCAUUCCUUUGGACUGAAAUGCAAACAGAAGCUUUCAAUAAACUGAAAUACAGCUUAACUCAUGCACCUGUCCUGGCAUUACCUGACUUUUCCACUCCUUUUGAGCUAGAGUGUGAUGCUUCUGGAGCAGGUACUGGCUUAUGCAGAAACACAUGCCCAUUGCUUACUAUAGCAAAUCCUUGGGACCUAGGGCAGCUGCACUAUCAACUUAUGAAAAAGAGGCAAUAG
rnacentral:rRNA from 1 species